AUUGAACGCUGGCGGCAGGCUUAACACAUGCAAGUCGAGCGGAGAUGAGGUGCUUGCACCUUAUCUUAGCGGCGGACGGGUGAGUAAUGAUUAGGAAUCUGCCUAUUAGUGGGGGACAACAUUCCGAAAGGAAUGCUAAUACCGCAUACGUCCUACGGGAGAAAGCAGGGGAUCUUCGGACCUUGAGCUAAUAGAUGAGCCGAAGUAGGAUUAGCUAGUUGGUGGGGUAAAGGCCUAACAAGGCGACGAUCUGUAGCGGGUCUGAGAGGAUGAACCGCCACACUGGGACUGAGACACGGCCCAGACUCCUACGGGAGGCUGCAGUGGGGAAUAUUGGACAAUGGUGGGAACCCUGGUCCAGCCAUGCCGCGUGUGUGAAGAAGGCCUUAUGGUUGUAAAGCACUUUAAGCGAGGAGGAGGCUACUGAGACUAAUACUCUUGGAUAGUGGACGCUACUCGCAGAAUAAGCACCGGCUAACUCUGUGCCAGCCGCCGCCGUAA
rnacentral:rRNA from 1 species